rnacentral:lncRNA from 1 species
UCAGAAUACAGUCUGUUGAAUUAUCCUAGAUGAAAAUAAAGGCAAACCAACACAUUCAUCCAUGAGGAUUUUGGUCCAUUCCAUUUAUUUUCUUUUAUUUUGCAUUCUUAAUUUCCUUUUUAGUUUAACACUGUUUGUUUGAGCUUAGGGAAGACAACUACCAAGAAAGGCCAGGAACAGUUGACUACACAAUGAAGAUUCCAUGCAAAAUGUUCAAUAUUGGAUCUAAAGGGGUUCAAAAUGUUUCAUACUAAACUGUUUGGGAAUUUAUUUGUUAACUCUGUGUACACCUAAUAAAAUUCAAUGUUUUCUUCUCAGAAGAGUUCAUUGAGACCAAACUGAACCUCAUUUAUUGAAAAUUAUAUGUGGGAUCAAUGUACUGGCCUCUUGUUAUUCUUUCUAUGUGGGAGGAUGACCCAGUCAUCAUUUUCCCCAUCUGCACUGUAUUUAUUGGGAAAUUAUUUUGUCACUGCUUUCAUAAAUCUUCUUCAUGACAGCCCUUGCCCAGCAUUAAAAAAUUCUGGCCUGCUUAGCUGAUUAAAGGUUUAGUAGAAAUUUAACUGUUUGUUUAUGCUUAUUUCAUUUUCAUAUUGGAUUCUACUUGAAUAAAUAAAAAGUUAGCAGAACGUUUGAGUAGAUUUAUUGCCAAUGAUGCUAAAUUACAAAUCUAACAAACAAAAUGAUUCCUUUGGUCAUUUUUGAUUUGGUGUUAUGUCAUCUUGAAGCCUAUUGUUUUUAACAGGAACAGUUAAAAUAUAUUAGAUAACUUCCAUUAACCAAUUAUUUUCAGAAAACAUAGAUCCCAUAAUAUGUGGCCAACUAUAUGAGUAAUUAACUAACUUGUAAUACAGUCAAAUGGGCUUAUGGACACUACUUACAGCAGCAACACUUCACUUCACACAAACACACACAUAUACACACACACACACACACACACACACACACACACAGAGCAAACACCCCCAUCUAUUUGUUACUGAUAAUUAGCCCUACUUGCUGGUUUCUUUUUCCCCUGCAAGUCUGUUUAUUGGUUUAAAUUAAGACAAGAUUUAUUUUUGUAAAUGACUGAGAUUUAUGUAAAUGUGUAUCUCUGUUGUGUUUUAUAUAUGGGGUGUCUAUAAGGGCAUUUAUCCCUAUGAAGGAUGUCAAAUACUUUCUUCUAAUAUAUGUUUAGACAUAUUGCAGAGGGGUCCUUGUUAUUUGUAAUUGAGUUAGGUCAUUUACUUUGUGUCUGGUCUCACCUGUAGCAUGGGAAGAGGACAGCAAUGAUGAGCUGCAUGUAGUAGGUACCUGUGUAUCAAGAACUGUUGGUAUGUAUUGCUAAUUUGCAUACAAAGAGUUUGUCUGUCUGCAUUGUAGUUUGUGUUUAAUAUCAUUUGUUAAAUUCACAAAUACAACAUAUUGAAUAAAAUAUUUAUAUGAAGGCAUAUUAAAAAACAUCAAACAACUUUAUGUAACAAAAUGGCAUUGCAUUACUCACCAAUAUAGAGAAAUGUCAUGUAAAUAAGUUGGUAAACUCAAUUUCCCCCUUUACCAUGCCAAAGAAAAUUUUAGCUCUUUGAUGAUACCUCUCUUGCUAUUUGUUUGGGAUAAGACUUCGCCAUUUUUUUCCCCUCAGAAAUUAAGUUUGCUGUUAUUAAGUAAGAAGUGCAAUCUGUCACUACUGAU